AUGGCCGUUUCAGGCUUGUUUGGAAGGAGACGCGUUACCAGCCAUCCAACAGCCGGGCACAGGGUCAGUAGGACGUCUGUGCCCGGUGCUAAAACACGGCGCAGCACGACGAGGUGCCCAGCUGCAGCCGGUGUCCCGAAAUGGGGGGUCUGGUUCUCCCCUCGGGUGAGCCCUCCGCGACAGCCAGGGACAGCGCACGGACGUGGCGGGAGAAUUGGGGCCACGCCGGGUUUUGCCGGACGAAUGCCCCUGCCGGCCUGCAGCAGAAGGCGCGCAAGAAUGACACAAAGCGAAGCUGAUUUCCCCGAACAGAUAGAAGAGCAACGUGAUGAAGCCGAAGUGGUGGCGUGGGAGAUUGCGCUCCUGCCACAGCGGAAGAAAGCCCGACUUGAAAGGGAAGCACCGGCAUUUGCCGCCCGAGAUGAAAGCUGCUGGGAUAAAAAUGACAUUUCUGUAAGGAAACCUAAGCCACUAUUCUUUGCCUUCAGGGACCUGUUUAAGGAGACUUAUGAAUUGUUCAGGUAUUGUAAGUGCCAGCCAAUGCAGAUUUUAGCUGCGCUUCCUUGCCCUGCAACCCUCCUACUGCUUCAAAGUAAAUAG
rnacentral:lncRNA from 1 species